UGUUACCUUCCCCGCACAGUGGGGAGGCCGAGGUCAUUAGAUCUGGAGGCCACGGCCUCCCCGUUGGCCGAUGAAGCAACGA
rnacentral:pre_miRNA from 1 species